rnacentral:rRNA from 1 species
UACGAACUGUGCAAACGUUAUUCGGAAUCACUGGGCUUACAGGGUGCGUAGGCGGCCUGACAAGUAGGGUGUGAAAGCCCCCGGCUUAACCGGGGAAUGGCGCCCUAAACUGUCGGGCUGGAGUGAGAUAGGGGUGUGCGGAACUUCCGGUGGAGCGGUGAAAUGUGUUGAUAUCGGAAGGAACGCCGGUGGCGAAAGCGGCACACUGGAUCUCAACUGACGCUGAGGCACGAAAGCCAGGGGAGCGAACGGG